rnacentral:rRNA from 1 species
CAAUCGAACUUGGAGAUAGCUGGUUCUCUCCGAAAUAGCUUUAGGGCUAGCCUCGAGGUAAAGAGUCAUGGAGGUAGAGCACUGUUUGGACUAGGGGCCCUUCUCGGGUUACCGAAUUCAGAUAAACUCCGAAUGCCAUGUACUUAUACUCGGGAGUCAGACUGCGAGUGAUAAGAUCCGUAGUCGAAAGGGAAACAGCCCAGACCACCAGUUAAGGUCCCCAAAUAUAUGUUAAGUGGAAAAGGAUGUGGGGUUGCUUAGACAACCAGGAUGUUGGCUUAGAAGCAGCCACCAUUGAAAGAGUGCGUAAUAGCUCACUGGUCGAGUGACCCCGCGCCGAAAAUGUACCGGGGCUAAACAUAUUACCGAAACUGUGGAUGAACCUCUUUAGAGGUUCGUGGUAGGAGAGCGUUCUAAGGGCGGUGAAGUCAGACCGGAAGGACUGGUGGAGCGCUUAGAAGUGAGAAUGCCGGUAUGAGUAGCGAAAGAAGGGUGAGAAUCCCUUCCACCGAAUAUCUAAGGUUUCCUGAGGAAGGCUCGUCCGCUCAGGGUUAGUCGGGACCUAAGCCGAGGCCGAUAGGCGUAGGCGAUGGACAACAGGUAGAGAUUCCUGUACCAGUGCUAAUUGUUUAACCGAUGGGGUGACACAGAAGGAUAGGGAAUCGCACGAAUGGAAAUGUGCGUCCAAGCAGUGAGUGUGAGAAGUAGGCAAAUCCGCUUCUCGCGAAGCAUGAGCUGUGAUGGGGAAGGAAAUUAAGUACGGAAGUUCCUGAUUUCACGCUGUCAAGAAAAGCCUCUAGGAAGAGUAGUACUGCCCGUACCGCAAACCGACACAGGUAGAUGAGGAGAGAAUCCUAAGGUGAGCGAGAGAACUCUCGUUAAGGAACUCGGCAAAAUGACCCCGUAACUUCGGGAGAAGGGGUGCUCUAUUAGGGUGCAAGCCCGAGAGAGCCGCAGUGAAUAGGCCCAGGCGACUGUUUAGCAAAAACACAGGUCUCUGCAAAACCGUAAGGUGACGUAUAGGGGCUGACGCCUGCCCGGUGCUGGAAGGUUAAGAGGAGUGCUUAGCUUCGGCGAAGGUACGAAUUGAAGCCCCAGUAAACGGCGGCCGUAACUAUAACGGUCCUAAGGUAGCGAAAUUCCUUGUCGGGUAAGUUCCGACCCGCACGAAAGGCGCAACGAUCUGGGCACUGUCUCAACGAGAGACUCGGUGAAAUUAUAGUACCUGUGAAGAUGCAGGUUACCCGCGACAGGACGGAAAGACCCCGUGGAGCUUUACUGCAACCUGAUAUGGAAUGUUUGUACCGCUUGUACAGGAUAGGUAGGAGCCGAAGAGACGUGUGCGCUAGCAUACGAGGAGGCAAUGGUGGGAUACUACCCUGGCUGUAUGACCAUUCUAACCCGCCACGCUUAGCGCGUGGGGAGACAGUGUCAGGUGGGCAGUUUGACUGGGGCGGUCGCCUCCUAAAGAGUAACGGAGGCGCCCAAAGGUUCCCUCAGAAUGGAUGGAAAUCAUUCGCAGAGUGUAAAGGCACAAGGGAGCUUGACUGCGAGACUGACAAGUCGAGCAGGGACGAAAGUCGGGCUUAGUGAUCCGGUGGUUCCGCAUGGAAGGGCCAUCGCUCAACGGAUAAAAGCUACCCCGGGGAUAACAGGCUUAUCUCCCCCAAGAGUCCACAUCGACGGGGAGGUUUGGCACCUCGAUGUCGGCUCGUCGCAUCCUGGGGCUGUAGUCGGUCCCAAGGGUUGGGCUGUUCGCCCAUUAAAGCGGCACGCGAGCUGGGUUCAGAACGUCGUGAGACAGUUCGGUCCCUAUCCGUCGCGGGCGCAGGAAAUUUGAGAGGAGCUGUCCUUAGUACGAGAGGACCGGGAUGGACACACCGCUGGUGUACCAGUUGUUCCGCCAGGAGCAUCGCUGGGUAGCUAUGUGUGGCAGGGAUAAACGCUGAAAGCAUCUAAGCGUGAAGCCCCCCUCAAGAUGAGAUUUCCCAUUUCUUCGGAAAGUAAGAUCCCUGAAAGAUGAUCAGGUAGAUAGGUUUGGAGUGGAAGUGUAGCGAUACAUGGAGCGGACAAAUACUAAUCGAUCGAGGACUUAACCAA